CCUGUCCCAAGUCAGGAGCCUGUAAUUCAGUGGUUGUCGUUUGUUUAUGUGUUACAUAUUUGUUUUUUGUUCAUUUUUUACAUAAAUAAGGCCGUUAGUUUUCUCGUUUGAAUUGUUUUACAUUGUCUUAUCAGGGCCUAUUAUAGCUGACUAUGCGGUAUGGGCUUUGCUCAUUGUUGAAGGCCGUACGGUGACCUAUAGUUGUUAAUGUCUGUGUCAUUUUGGUCUUUUGUGGAUAGUUGUCUCAUUGGCAAUCAUACCACAUCUUCUUUUUUAUA
rnacentral:lncRNA from 1 species